UACGGAGGAUGCAAGCGUUGUCCGGAAUUAUUGGGCGUAAAGCGUCCGUAGGCGGCUAAUCAAGUCUACUGUCAAAGCGUGGAGCUUAACUCCAUAACGGCAGGGGAGACUGAUGAGCUAGAGUGCGAUAGGGGUAGCAGGAAUUCCCAGUGUAGCGGUGAAAUGCGUAGAGAUUGGGAAGAACACCAGCGGCGAAAGCGUGCUACUGGGUCUGCACUGACACUGAGGGCCGAAAGCUAGGGGAGCGAAAGGG
rnacentral:rRNA from 1 species